rnacentral:rRNA from 1 species
UACAUAGGGCGCGAGCGUUGUCCGGAAUUAUUGGGCGUAAAGAGCUCGUAGGCGGCUUGUCACGUCGGGUGUGAAAGACCGGGGCUUAACUCCGGUUCUGCAUUCGAUACGGGCUAGCUAGAGUGUGGUAGGGGAGAUCGGAAUUCCUGGUGUAGCGGUGAAAUGCGCAGAUAUCAGGAGGAACACCGGUGGCGAAGGCGGAUCUCUGGGCCAUUACUGACGCUGAGGAGCGAAAGCGUGGGGAGCGAACAGG